UACAGAGGGUGCAAGCGUUAAUCGGAAUUACUGGGCGUAAAGCGUGCGUAGACGGUUAUUUAAGUCAGGUGUGAAAGCCCCCGGCUCAACUGGGGAGGGUCACGCGAUACUGAUCGACUCGAAGGCAGGAGAGGGUAGUGGAAUUCCCGGUGUAGUGGUGAAAUGCGUAGAUAUCGGGAGGAACACCAGUGGCGAAGGCGACUACCUGGCCUGUUCUUGACGCUGAGGCGCGAAAGCUAGGGGAGCAAACGGG
rnacentral:rRNA from 1 species